rnacentral:lncRNA from 1 species
GAAAUGAUGGUGCUUAUGGAAAUCCAUCUGGGUAUGGGGCUGUUGGACGUGCCAGUGGUGCUCCAAGUGGUAAUUCACCUGUUGGAGGUGGUGCUGCAGGAGACAUGCAAUCAGGUGCUGGGGGUUACAUGAGCGGUGGCUAUGGUGAUGCCAGUGGAAACUCUGGCUAUGGGAAUUCAGCAUGGAGGUCUGAUAACUCGCAGGGUUCCGGUAAUUAUGGUGCUCCACCAAACGGAGCUCAUGGUGGCCAAGCUGGAUAUGGUGGUGGAUAUGGAGGUGCUCCCAGUCGGCAAGCCCAACAGCAGUGAAUGAGAUGAUUCGUUUUUGUCUCAGACUUCACCUUUUACUGGAGAGUUUUGCUUCACUUUUGCGUUUCACAUGCUGCUCUUGCGAGAUGUCACCUGCUAAAUGAGACUGGUUGGAUUGCUUGAAUCCCCUAGUAGUUUGCAGUACUUAUUUUCUAGUUUAUAAUAACUAGUAUUGUCACU